CUGGGGGGCGGGCGCGGUAGUGGGAGGGUAGUAAACGUGCGAGGAGCAAGAACAAGGAGCAGCAGCAGCCCCAGCAUGGUGGCACGCGGCCUCCCACCUGCUAACAAGCACCCAGUCUGCCUGCCUGAGCCCCUGUCCCUGGAUCCCGGCCACAGCAGCAGUACAGCAGACAGACAGCUGCAGCAUCAGCACUGCAGGGAGAGUGCUGUCCCCCUGGCUAGGCGCACAGCAUUCUGGGAGUGGCCGCGGGGAAGAAAAGUCCUAGGAGCAGCAGCAUGGUGUUGGGUAAUGGCACUACACGCGGCCGCCCACAAGCAGCCCGGCCUUCAGCCUGCCUGACUGAGCCCCUGGUGAGGAGACCCAUUACCCACGCAGUCCUGGAUCCCAGCCCAAGCAGCACCACAGCACAGGACCAGCUGCAGCAUCAGCAUUGCAGGGAGAGUGCUGCCCAUCAGAUGUUGCAGUUGGAGAUCCCACUACUUUUGUGGGCAUUAUUGCCACCAUGCGCCAACACCUGCAGGGAUUAUUGAGGAGUGUGGAGCAGCUGGAAAAGUUUUCAUAAUUUUUAUUUUAAAACAUUUUAUUUUUCGUAAAAAAAAAAAACACCAAACAAAAAAAUACAAACAAUAAAAAAAAAAUUUUUCAACUUAA